AACCUUUUAGUAUAAAAAGUAUAUUUGUUUUAAGCGCAGGUGGUUUGGAAGGUUA
rnacentral:tRNA from 2 species